UCUACGUCUCAUGUGUCUGUACAGGAGUGGCGCUCCCUAUUAGUCCUGGUCCUGGUGGCCACCUUUGCUGCCUACACCGACGCUGCAGCUUGCUGUCGUGGUGGAGGACACCACGGUGGUGGCGGACACCAUGGUGGUGGUGGUAGACACCCUGGUGGUGGCGGUGGAGGUGGAGGCUUUGGUGGGGGUGGAGGACAUGGAGGAGGCGGUGGGUUUGGAGGAGGAAUAGGAGGAGGCUACGGAAAGUAACGACAGAGACUUGCCUCCCGGGAAGCUGCUGAUGGUGACUCUCGUUGUGAGAAUAUCCGGCUACGACGACACUUUGGACUCCUUCUAAAUCUCCCACAAAUCCUAACCUGUCCUUUUUGAGAUAUGAAAAAUUUCUACCUGACCCUUACUACUUCAUUUAUUCCUAUACAUAUUGUUUUAAUUAUAUUCAAUUUUAAUAUUGUCAAAUAAAUAAAUCUUGAGGG
rnacentral:lncRNA from 1 species